GAUGAACGCUGGCGGCGUGCCUAAUACAUGCAAGUCGAGCGGACAGACGAGGCUCUUGCUUCUCUGACGUUAGCCGCAGACGUGUGAAUCACGCGUGUAUCACCUACCUAUCAGUCUGGUAUCACUUCGGAAAACCGGAGCUUAUACCGUAUAAGCUUUUGCACCGCGUGGUUCGAUGGUGAAAGACGGUGUUUCUGUCACUUAUAGAUGGAUCCGGGCGGCUUUAUCUAGUUGUUAAGGUAACAGCUUACCAAGGCUACGCUGCGUAACAGACGUGAGAGAGUGAUAGGCCACACUGGAACGGAGACAGGGUCCAGAGGCCUAAGGGAGGGAGCAGUAGGGAAUCUUACGCAAUGGGCGAAAGCCUGACGGAGCAGCGCGGAGUGAGUGAUGAAGGUGUUCGGAUCGGAAAACUCGGUUAUGAGGGAAGAACAAAUGUGUAAGUAACUGUGGCCUGCUUGACGGUACCUAAUAAGAAAGCAACGGCUAACUACGUG
rnacentral:rRNA from 1 species